rnacentral:rRNA from 17 species
GGAUGCGAUCAUACUAGCACUAAAGCACCGGAUCCCAUCAGAACUCUGAAGUUAAGCGUGCUUGGGCGAGAGUAGUACUAGGAUGGGUGGGCGAGAGUAGUACUAGGAUGGGUGACCUCCU